rnacentral:rRNA from 1 species
UAGGGAAUCUUCGGCAAUGGACGAAAGUCUGACCGAGCAACGCCGCGUGAGUGAAGAAGGUUUUCGGAUCGUAAAACUCUGUUGGUAGAGAAGAACGUUGGUGAGAGUGGAAAGCUCAUCAAGUGACGGUAACUACCCAGAAAGGGACGGCUAACUACGUGCCAGCAGCCGCGGUAAUACGUAGGUCCCGAGCGUUGUCCGGAUUUAUUGGGCGUAAAGCGAGCGCAGGUGGUUUAUUAAGUCUGGUGUAAAAGGCAGUGGUUCAACCAUUGUAUGCAUUGGAAACUGGUAGACUUGAGUGCAGGAGAGGAGAGUGGAAUUCCAUGUGUAGCGGUGAAAUGCGUAGAUAUAUGGAGGAACACCGGUGGCGAAAGCGGCUCUCUGGCCUGUAACUGACACUGAGGCUCGAAAGCGUGGGGAGCAAACAGGAUUAGAUACCCUGGUAGUCCACGCCGUAAACGAUGAGUGCUAGAUGUAGGGAGCUAUAAGUUCUCUGUAUCGCAGCUAACGCAAUAAGCACUCCGCCUGGGGAGUACGACCGCAAGGUUGAAAC